GAUGAACGCUGGCGGCGUGCCUAAUACAUGCAAGUCGAGCGAACAGAUGAGGAGCUUGCUCCUCUGACGUUAGCGGCGGACGGGUGAGUAACACGUGGAUAACCUACCUAUAAGACUGGGAUAACUUCGGGAAACCGGAGCUAAUACCGGAUAAUAUAUUGAACCGCAUGGUUCAAUAGUGAAAGACGGUUUUGCUGUCACUUAUAGAUGGAUCCGCGCCGCAUUAGCUAGUUGGUAAGGUAACGGCUUACCAAGGCAACGAUGCGUAGCCGACCUGAGAGGGGGAUCGGCCACACUGGAACUGAGACACGGUCCAGACUCCUACGGGAGGCAGCAGUAGGGAAUCUUCCGCAAAGGGCGAAAGCCUGACGGAGCAACGCCGCGUGAGUGAUGAAGGUCUUCGGAUCGUAAAACUCUGUUAUUAGGGAAGAACAAAUGUGUAGGUAACUAUGCACGUCUUGACGGUACCUAAUCAGAAAGCCACGGCUAACUACGUG
rnacentral:rRNA from 1 species